rnacentral:rRNA from 1 species
GACGAACGCUGGCGGCGUGCUUAACACAUGCAAGUCGAACGGAAAGGCCUGCUUUCCCUUGUGGAUUGCGGGUACUCGAGUGGCGAACGGGUGAGUAACACGUGAGUGAUCUGCCCCCAACUUGGGUAUAAGCCUGGGAAACUGGGUCUAAUUCCCGAUAGGACUGCAGGGUGGUGCCAGUGGUGGGAAACGAUUUUCUAGUGGUUGGGGAUGAGCUCGCGGGCUAUCAGCUUGUUGGUGGGGUAAUGGACUACCAAGGCGGCGAAGGGUAGCCGGGCUGGGAGGGCGGACGGCGAGAGUGAGACUGCGCUACGGCCCAGACUCCUACGGGAGGCAGCAGUGGGGAGUAUUGGAGAGUGGGCGGAAGCCUGAUGCAGCGGCGCCGCGUGGGGGAUGACGGCCUUCGGGUUGUGAACUCCUUUCGACAGCGAGGAUGCCACCUGGUUGGAAGGGUGGUGACGGUAGUGGUAGAAGAAGCACCGGCUAACUACGUG